GAUGAACGCUAGCGGGAGGCUUAACACAUGCAAGUCGAGGGGCAUCACGUUCAGAGCAAUCGGAAUGGUGGCGACCGGCGCACGGGUGAGUAACGCGUAUGCAACCUACCCUGUACAGGGGGAUAACCCGGAGAAAUUCGGACUAAUACCCCAUAAAGAUAUUAGAGGGCAUCCUUUGAUAUUUAAAGUCUCGACGGUACGGGAUGGGCAUGCGUAACAUUAGCUAGUUGGUAGGGUAAUGGCCUACCAAGGCGACGAUGUUUAGGGGUCCUGAGAGGGUGAUCCCCCACACUGGUACGGAGACACGGACCAGACUCCUACGGGAGGCAGCAGUGAGGAAUAUUGGGCAAUGGGCGUAAGCCUGAACCAGCCAUCCUGCGUGCAGGAAGACGGCGCUAUGGGUUGUAAACUGCUUUUCCAGGGGGCGAAACGUUCCGAUGUAUCGGGAUUUGACGGUACUCUGGGAAUAAGCAUCGGCUAACUCCGUGCCAGCCGCCGCAGUAAAAC
rnacentral:rRNA from 1 species